rnacentral:rRNA from 1 species
CUGCUGCCUCCCGUAGGAGUUUGGGCCGUGUCUCAGUCCCAAUGUGGCCGUCCACCCUCUCAGGCCGGCUACCGAUCGUCGGCUUGGUGAGCCGUUACCCCACCAACUACCUAAUCGGACGCGGGCCCAUCUCACACUGCAAAAGCUUUCCACACCGAAUCAUGCGAUUCUGUGCGCCUAUGCGGUAUUAGCAGCCGUUUCCAGNUGUUGUCCCCCUGUGUGAGGCAGGUUGCCCAGCGUUACUCACCCGUCCG